rnacentral:lncRNA from 1 species
AUGCUAUGGGGACAUUUCCUUUUUUUUGACAUUUCCUUUUUAAACAUCUCUGUUUGGUCUACAGUUGUGAAAGAGGCAGCCAGCCUGAAGAAACACAACCUGUUGACAGACAGCAGAGACCUCCUGAGUCGAUCCAGCCAGUCUAUCCUCAAAUCAGCCUCCUCCUCGCCCAGCAGCCCGGCCAGGGGGCUAGGCUACCCCAGGCAGAUGGAGGCCAAGUCAGGGGCAGAAGAGCUUGAGUCCCUGGAGGCCAGUACUGGCCCUGAUGCCUCUCCAGUAGAGAAGCUAGUAGAGGUGGAGAACAGGGUCGGUAAACCGGUGGCCUGUGAGACAAAAACUAAGAUCUUAGACACUCCAAUUACCGCUGAAGAAGGGACGACAGCAAAACAGCCCGUCGCAACUGAGACAGUGGAAGUACAGACACAGCCCUCAGCAGAGACAGAGGAAACGCCCGCCCAAGCGGAUGGCGUGAAGCCGGAGGAGAUGGUGGUGGCGGACCUACGAACCACAGUAGCACAAAACAACGCUCUUUCCCCAAGUCCGGACACUGUACCUGAUCCAUCCAAUGUCCCUGUUCAUGUUGUCAGCCCUGUAGCUGCCAUCGACGCAGUAGCUGUGGAAGAUUUAGUAGCUGAGGGCAUUGCUUCUCUCGCUAUUACUACAGGCGGGCCAGAUACUGACGGUGAGAGCGGGCCUCUUAACAGUGACCCAGCAGCGCCCCCUGGUGGUGUAACUGUGACUCCAGAAGAAUCCAGCCGUGCCGCCACAUCAGAGACCAAGUACGACGAUGAAGAGUGGGAUACAGAGAAUGAAUCGGGGGUCAAGGUUUGCCUGAGCUGCAGAGAGAUGGAGGAUUCUAAGAGUGAAUCGCCAGUCGGCAUCGCAGCUAAGCCACCUGCAGAAGUAUCAGAGGGUGACCCCUUUCCCCCAAACAUGAUUUCUAAAGCAACAGGUCGAGGUGACAGAGAAGCUAGCUCUGAAGUCACUGUAGCCAAUAUCAAGGUAAUACCUCCGCGACCUCAGCCAGACACCCAGGCCACUUUUCCUUCUGAUUCCACCAAAGAGAACCUGCAGGCUGGGGAGCCCACAGAACCUGUCCCCCGUACCCUGGACUGUGUGAAGGAGAUACGGAACCUGGUGAUGGAGGUUUCUGAAGUGAAGGAGAUGGUCUAG